UUUAAUGUUUUGAAGCUGAAGAAAGUAGAUGUUAUCCUCCUUGCGAAAUUUCAAUGUGUGCAACAAUGGAGGAAUAAUUUAAAACGAAGACUCCUUAAUUUAGAAUUUAGGAGUCUUUUGUUUACAUUCUAACUCUUGAAAUUGUUUGUCUUAUGUUAAUAAAGUGUCUUGAUACAACUUUCAUGUUAAAUGAUUGAGUACUAAACUUUUGUAUGAGCAAGUAUGUUUUACGCAUCAUGAUUGAUAAAGUAUGCUAAAUUUUAACACAUCAACAAGAUUUUGGUAGAAAUUUAUAUGUUUUCUUAGAUUUUUGGUCCUAAAUUCCUUAGAAUUUUGUACUUCUAAAUCACCGUUGUUUACAGAAGAAGUCGCUGCUGGGGUUUCUAAUCUCAUGGUUCCGUUGGGUGUUGGAUUGGCUUUUACUCAGAAGUAUAAUACGGAUGAUACUGUAAGUUUUGCUUUGUAUGGUGAUGGUGCUGCUAAUCAAGGACAAUUGUUUGAGGCUUUGAAUAUGGCUGCGCUUUGGAAUCUUCCUGCUAUUUUGGUUUGUGAAAAUAAUCAUUUGGGGGUCGUGAUUUGAGUUGAAAUAAGCGUUCAAGCAAGUAUCAGACACAUGAUCAGACAUUUACUGGUGGAAAUGAAGCGCUUAGAUUGAGUUGCAGAAAAGGAUACCUUGUUCGUGUUGUUAGGGAGUCUAAUUUGAUCGGAAAAGGUGGCUUUGGGAAGGUUUAUAAGGGUCGUUUGGAUAAUGGACAGGUAAAUUACCUUUCCAUAUUAAAAUUUCUUACACCAAAUUCAAGCAUUUCGAAUUCAACCUUUGUUCAUAGGCUUAUAUGUGCUUAAUUUUAUGAUGUGAUCGUGUCUUGUUACACCAGUCUUUGUGUAGCUGCUGUCUGCUCAUGUUGAAUUACAAAGAAAUUGUUACAAACUGAGAAAGAAGUUAGCUUAUUUCGAUCUUUUCAUUAUAAAUGAUUUCUGAGAUUAAAAGUCGUGUGCACAGAACGUUAUGUUUCUGGAAUUGUGUAGACACCUUAUGUUUCUGCAUGUUGGUUUUAAUUGGUGAUUGUGGCGAUCUCUUCUACCUGAUUUCGCUUACUAAUUUUGCAGUUGUGCUAUUUCUUUAUUUAUUCUUCUUUGUGUUGGAUCAAGAGUUAAACUGGUUGGAUAUGCUUUAUUACCCCUUAUGUUUGUCACGACAUUUAGGGAUGGAGGUUAUGACAAUGUAAAUAUGAAAUAUGGUUUGGGAAUUAUUUGUGUUCAUAUUUGUAUGGUUGGGCCUUUAUUUACUUGAUGAAUUUAAUCAUAGCAGCUGAUUGCUGUCUGAUUUCUUAAUCUUGAAUAGGUUCUCUGGCCUGAAUGUGGCUGUUAACCUGUUUCCUUGACUGAUUUGAUUACUGGCGUGGCAGUUAAGAAAGCUUAUAGAAAUGCGAAUUUGUGAAUUCAUCCUGAUAAAGUGCAAUAGAAGGGUGCCACUCUACAGUAGAAAAUUGUUGCUGAGAAGGUGUUUCAUCUGUUUAAGGUUGAUUUAUUGAAAAACAAAUUUGGAUUUGAUGAAGCCUUCAAUUACAAAGAAGAGGAAGACUUGGAUGCAACCUUGAAAAGGUAACCAUGUGGAGCAAUGAAGGCCCUUCUGGUGGAUUUAAGUUUGGCUGAAGGUAGCUUAACUAUACAAAGACAAAUAAGUAAAACAUAAUGCCUUUAGAGGAAACAAGUGUAAUUUUGUUUUUAAACCUGGAAAACAAGAAUUCUUGAGAUUUGGUUUAAUUUAGUUCUUUUAAAGUUUUGGUUAUUAGUUUAUUAAUUGUAUUUUUUUUUUUGAAAGAAAUAUUAAUUGUAUAAAAUAUAAACAUCUCUCAAUAAAUGAUAAAAUG